rnacentral:rRNA from 1 species
AAAUUGAAGAGUUUGAUCAUGGCUCAGAUUGAACGCUGGCGGCAGGCCUAACACAUGCAAGUCGAACGGUAACAGGAAGCAGCUUGCUGCUUUGCUGACGAGUGGCGGACGGGUGAGUAAUGUCUGGGAAACUGCCUGAUGGAGGGGGAUAACUACUGGAUACGGUGGCUAAUACCGCAUAACGUCGCAAGACCAAAGAGGGGGACCUUCGGGCCUCUUGCCAUCAGAUGUGCCCAGAUGGGAUUAGCUUGUUGGUGAGGUAACGGCUCACCAAGGCGACGAUCCCUAGCUGGUCUGAGAGGAUGACCAGCCACACUGGAACUGAGACACGGUCCAGACUCCUACGGGAGGCAGCAGUGGGGAAUAUUGCACAAUGGGCGCAAGCCUGAUGCAGCCAUGCCGCGUGUAUGAAGAAGGCCUUCGGGUUGUAAAGUACUUUCAGCGGGGAGGAAGGUGUUGUGGUUAAUAACCGCAGCAAUUGACGUUACCCGCAGAAGAAGCACCGGCUAACUCCGUGCCAGCAGCCGCGGUAAUACGGAGGGUGCAAGCGUUAAUCGGAAUUACUGGGCGUAAAGCGCACGCAGGCGGUCUGUCAAGUCGGAUGUGAAAUCCCCGGGCUCAACCUGGGAACUGCAUUCGAAACUGGCAGGCUUGAGUCUUGUAGAGGGGGGUAGAAUUCCAGGUGUAGCGGUGAAAUGCGUAGAGAUCUGGAGGAAUACCGGUGGCGAAGGCGGCCCCCUGGACAAAGACUGACGCUCAGGUGCGAAAGCGUGGGGAGCAAACAGGAUUAGAUACCCUGGUAGUCCACGCCGUAAACGAUGUCUACUUGGAGGUUGUGCCCUUGAGGCGUGGCUUCCGGAGCUAACGCGUUAAGUAGACCGCCUGGGGAGUACGGCCGCAAGGUUAAAACUCAAAUGAAUUGACGGGGGCCCGCACAAGCGGUGGAGCAUGUGGUUUAAUUCGAUGCAACGCGAAGAACCUUACCUGGUCUUGACAUCCACAGAAGAAUCCAGAGAUGGAUUUGUGCCUUCGGGAACUGUGAGACAGGUGCUGCAUGGCUGUCGUCAGCUCGUGUUGUGAAAUGUUGGGUUAAGUCCCGCAACGAGCGCAACCCUUAUCCUUUGUUGCCAGCGGUUAGGCCGGGAACUCAAAGGAGACUGCCAGUGAUAAACUGGAGGAAGGUGGGGAUGACGUCAAGUCAUCAUGGCCCUUACGACCAGGGCUACACACGUGCUACAAUGGCGCAUACAAAGAGAAGCGACCUCGCGAGAGCAAGCGGACCUCAUAAAGUGCGUCGUAGUCCGGAUUGGAGUCUGCAACUCGACUCCAUGAAGUCGGAAUCGCUAGUAAUCGUGGAUCAGAAUGCCACGGUGAAUACGUUCCCGGGCCUUGUACACACCGCCCGUCACACCAUGGGAGUGGGUUGCAAAAGAAGUAGGUAGCUUAACCUUCGGGAGGGCGCUUACCACUUUGUGAUUCAUGACUGGGGUGAAGUCGUAACAAGGUAACCGUAGGGGAACCUGCGGUUGGA